rnacentral:rRNA from 1 species
ACGGGAGGCAGCAGUGGGGACUAUUGCACAAUGGGGGAAACCCUGAUGUAGCGAUGCCGCGUGGAGGAAGAAGGUUUUCGGAUUGUAAACUCCUGUCUUAAGGGACGAUAAUGACGGUACCUUAAGAGGAAGCUCCGGCUAACUACGUGCCAGCAGCCGCGGUAAUACGUAGGGAGCGAGCGUUGUCCGGAAUUACUGGGUGUAAAGGGAGCGUAGGCGGGAUGGUAAGUCAGAUGUGAAAUCUAUGGGCUCAACCCAUAGACUGCAUUUGAAACUGCUGUUCUUGAGUGAAGUAGAGGUAAGCGGAAUUCCUAGUGUAGCGGUGAAAUGCGUAGAUAUUAGGAGGAACAUCGGUGGCGAAGGCGGCUUACUGGGCUUUUACUGACGCUGAGGCUCGAAAGCGUGGGGAGCAAACAGGAUUAGAUACCCUGGUA